GAACGAGAAAGGGGAGCAAUCCCUGAGUACAGUGGCGUACGGGUGAGUAACACGUGGAUGAUCUACCCCUUAGUUUGGAAUAACCAUGGGAAACCGUGGCUAAUACCGGAUAAGCUCGAGAGAGGAAAGCAGCAAUGCGCUGAGGGAGGAGUCCGCGGCCGAUUAGCUAGUUGGUGGGGUAAGAGCCCACCAAGGCAAAGAUCGGUAGCCGGCCUGAGAGGGCACACGGCCACACUGGCACUGAAACACGGGCCAGACUCCUACGGGAGGCAGCAGUGGGGAAUCUUGCACAAUGGGGGCAACCCUGAUGCAGCGACGCCGCGUGAGCGAUGAAGCCCUUCGGGGUGUAAAGCUCUUUCGGCAGGGAAGAUAGUGACGGUACCUGCAGAAGCAGCUGCGGCUAACUACGUGCCAGCAGCCGCGGUAAUACGUAGGCAGCAAGCGUUGUUCGGAGUUACUGGGCGUAAAGGGUGUGUAGGCGGUGAUUUAAGUUUGGUGUGAAAUCUCCCGGCUCAACUGGGAGGGUGCGCCGAAUACUGAAUGACUCGAGUGCGGGAGAGGAAAGUGGAAUUCCUGGUGUAGCGGUGAAAUGCGUAGAUAUCAGGAGGAACACCGGUGGUGUAGACGGCUUUCUGGACCGUAACUGACGCUGAGACACGAAAGCGUGGGUAGCAAACAGGAUUAGAUACCCUGGUAGUCCACGCCCUAAACGAUGCAUAUUUGGUGUGGGCAGUUCAUUCUGUCCGUGCCGGAGCUAACGCGUUAAAUA
rnacentral:rRNA from 1 species